rnacentral:tRNA from 1 species
AGAGGUGUGGCUCAAUGGUAGGUUAUCUGCUUACCGUGCAGCAGGCCCCUGGUUCAACCCUUAGCACCUCCA